AAUAAGAUCAGUUUUAUGUUUUUGAUACAAUAUUUUGACUCUUUGUCUUAUUUGAAAUAUUUUUGCGAUUAAUAUUUUUAUUCUUACCAGAUGAUAAAACAUAAAUAGUACUUUAUGCAUAACUAAUUAUUUUAAGUUUUUGUACAAAUUUUUUUAAAUAAGACCAACGGUAAAAUAUUGGACAUGGAAAAACGAAAAUAGAGUUAUU
rnacentral:pre_miRNA from 1 species